ACUCAAAGGAAUAGACGGGGGCCCGCACAAGCGGUGGAGCAUGUGGCUCAAUUCGAUGCAACGCGAAGAACCUUACCUGGCCUUGACAUGUAGCGUGAAAGCCGAUGAAAGUCGGUGACGGUCCGAAAGGAUGCUGGGGCUACACAGGUGCUGCAUGGUUGUCGUCAGCUCGUGUCGUGAGAUGUUGGCUUAAGUGCCGCAACGAGCGCAACCCCUGUGAUUAGUUGCUAAUCAAUCGUAAGGUUGAUGCACUCUAAUCAGACUGCCUCUUUUCAAAAGAGGAGGAAGGUGGGGAUGACGUCAAAUCAGUAUGGCCCUUACGGCCAGGGCUGCACACGUGCUACAAUGCCCGGUACAAAGGGAAGCAGAACCGUGAGGUGGAGCAAAUCCCAUAAAACCGGGCCCAGUUCAGAUUGAAGGCUGCAACUCGCCUUCAUGAAGCCGGAAUCGCUAGUAAUGGCGCAUCAGCUACGGCGCCGUGAAUACGUUCCCGGGCCUUGUACACACCGCCCGU
rnacentral:rRNA from 1 species